rnacentral:rRNA from 1 species
UACGAAGGGGGCUAGCGUUGCUCGGAAUUACUGGGCGUAAAGUGUGCGCAGGCGGCAGAGCAAGUCGAGUGUGAAAGCCCCGGGCUUAACUUGGGAAUUGCGCUCGAAACUACUUUGCUGGAGUGUGGCAGAGGGAGGUGGAAUUCCACGUGUAGCAGUGAAAUGCGUAGAGAUGUGGAGGAACACCGAUGGCGAAGGCAGCCUCCUGGGCCAGCACUGACGCUCAUGCACGAAAGCGUGGGGAGCAAACAGG